AGAGUUUGAUCAUGGCUCAGAAUCAACGCUGGCGGCGUGCCUCAGACAUGCAAGUCGAACGCGAAAGGCCCCUUCGGGGGCCGAGUAGAGUGGCGCACGGGUGAGUAACACGUAGGUAAUCUACCUCUGGGUGGGGAAUAACAGCCGGAAACGGCUGCUAAUACCGCAUAACGCAGCGGCACCACAUGGUGACAGUUGUUAAAGCGGGGGAACUUCGGUCCUCGCGCCUGGAGAGGAGCCUGCGGCGGAUUAGCUAGUUGGUAGGGUAACGGCCUACCAAGGCGACGAUCCGUAGCCGGCCUGAGAGGGCGGUCGGCCACACUGGCACUGACAUACGGGCCAGACUCCUACGGGAGGCAGCAGUCGGGAAUUUUGGGCAAUGGGCGAAAGCCUGACCCAGCAACGCCGCGUGAAGGAUGAAGUUUCUCGGAAUGUAAACUUCACAAGAAUGGGAAGAAUAAGUCUGGGCUAAUAUCCCUGACGAUGACGGUACCAUUUGUAAGCUCCGGCUAACUCCGUGCCAGCAGCGGCGGUAAUAC
rnacentral:rRNA from 1 species